GGAGUCUAGUUUCACCCUGGCUGUCCUACUCUACUCACGUGCAUCAGCUUCCAGACCCAUCCGGCUGUUACUCAACGACGGGCAAGGUCUUGCCUUUCCCAUUGGAGUCGGUUCCAGCCUUGCCUCCAUCCCCACAAGGCUUGUGUGAGAAGGUGCCCCUCCUAGCCAGCCCCCUCCUGCCUCUGUUCCAGUUCCAACCAUGCGCAGUUGGCCCCCCAGUACCUAGUUGUACAUUCUAGUUCUGGGUCCUUCCAGUUGAGGCAUGUGGAAUGCCACCUCAGCAUGACCUGAUGAGCAGUAGUACCAUGUCCACACCCAGGAAUCGAACCAGCGAAACUCGAAGCUGCCGAAGCGGAGUGUGCGAACUUAACCACUCGGCCACGGGGCCUGCCCCCAUCACCUUUCUUGAUCCCUUUCCUGUAAGCUGAGGAGAAAUCUUAAGCAACCAGGCAUAGACUUCUCAGCAUCUAGAACGGCGAGAAUGAAUGCUGUUUAAGCCACCCAGUCUAUGGCAUUCUGGUAUGGCAGCUGGAACUGACUCAGACAGGGGCCAAUUGAACAAAAGAGCCUGGAGUGUGAAAGAUUCUGAGGCUGAAGACCAAGCAGGGAGCCUGUGAAGGGGCUGAGGACACCCAGAGAAGGGGCCCACCGAGGAAGGCAGAGCUAGAGAGGGCCCCGCUGCUGAGCAAAUGAGGCGGCCGAGGACCUUCAGAGGAGCCACGCAGAAUCAGAACAGGGGUUUGGUUUUUCUACAACGUUGUCUCAGUUGGACCUAAAACAAAAAUAUUAACAUAAGCUCAGCUUCCAAAAUCACCAUGUUCCUCUGGUGAAAACUUGGAAAAGAGGUGGAAAAAUUACUUAGGGGACGCUGUAGAAAGAUCCUUCCUCUAACUCAGAGUCUAAGAAGGGGUUCAUCCUUUCGAAGACCUUGAAAACCAUCAGCUCAUUGAUAGGCACCUUUUGCAGCUCCUGGAAUAGAGGUUGCAUACGAGGCCCUUUCACACGAUGCCUGAACUACGGGGACAUCUUCCACGUACCGUCUUGUCCCUCUGAUCUGCAUCUCAAUCCUAUGGUCUUUCCAGGAAAUCCCUCCCUGAGCUGGGAGUGCAGUGAUAAAUAAAACAAUGUCUGAGACUGGACCUCGCUAGACAACCCAGAAUGUAUUGUCACCAUGCCAUGGGUGAACACAGAUGUUGACCUCCACACACACACAGAAGAAAGUGAUUGAUGUAAAAGCAAUGAUGGCAGUCUUAGGAAUUUUCUCCUGCUGCUGAGUGGCACCAGAGAAGG
rnacentral:lncRNA from 1 species